UGAACUCUGGACAUCUGUGCUUGGGGUCUGCUUCAUUGGAAAGGAGCCGGGGUGGGAAAGAUUCUACACUUUUGGUUCCCACCCCCUCUCCAGGAGGAGAAACUCGCCAGUGUCCGCUGAGGGAUCGGUAAAGGGUAUUGCAAAAGACUCCCUGGAGCAGCUACUCGAGUUGAUCUAAGCACAGGACUGGGAAGGAAAAAAAAAAUGGGCGAGGGGUGGUUAACCACCUACAUCGCCUUCCUCCCUCUUUUCUCCAUCACCCCUCCCUUUUCGUAGCUGCUGACGCGCUGGUGGUGCCUAUUAAUCAUUCACCAGCCCAGAGCCGCGCCACUUAAUGGCUGUGCGGCGCGGGGCUCCAGCCUCUCGGUCUCCCCUCUCCACGCUCGCGUGUGCCCAGGCGCCUGGGAGCGGGCUUGCGGGUGCGCGCAAGCAGCCGCUAGGCAAUGCGCCCCGCCGGCGCCGGUCAGAGCCAAGCUCCCCUUAGCCGCUGCGUGCUACCCCAGGUGCCUGGCAGCAGUGAGCUGCGGGCAGGCGGGCAGGGUGCCGAGUGAGAGCGCAAGCGGCGGGGGCGCAAGGAGAGCGCUCCAGCCCCAGCAGCCCCAGCAGCCCCCAUUAGCUGAAAUGUUCCCCAAUGGCACUGCCUCCUCUCCUUCCUCUCCUAGCCCCAGCCCGGGCAGCUGCGGCGAAGGCGGCGGCAGCAGGGGCCCCGGGGCCGGCGCUGCGGGCGGCAUGGAGGAGCCGGGACGAAAUGCGUCCCAGAACGGGACCUUGAGCGAGGGCCAGGGCAGCGCCAUCCUCAUCUCUUUUAUCUACUCCGUGGUGUGCCUGGUGGGGCUGUGUGGUAACUCCAUGGUCAUCUACGUGAUCCUGCGCUACGCCAAAAUGAAGACGGCCACCAACAUCUACAUCCUGAACCUGGCCAUCGCCGAUGAGCUGCUCAUGCUCAGUGUGCCAUUUCUGGUCACCUCCACGUUGCUUCGCCACUGGCCCUUCGGCGCGCUUCUCUGCCGCCUCGUGCUCAGCGUGGAUGCAGUCAACAUGUUCACCAGCAUCUACUGUCUGACUGUCCUUAGCGUGGACCGGUACGUGGCCGUGGUGCACCCCAUCAAGGCAGCACGCUACCGCCGGCCCACCGUGGCCAAGGUGGUGAAUCUGGGCGUGUGGGUGCUAUCGCUGCUUGUCAUUCUGCCCAUCGUGGUCUUUUCGCGCACGGCGGCCAACAGUGAUGGCACGGUGGCCUGCAACAUGCUCAUGCCUGAGCCCGCUCAGCGCUGGCUAGUGGGCUUCGUGUUGUACACGUUUCUCAUGGGCUUCUUGCUGCCCGUCGGGGCCAUCUGCCUGUGCUACGUGCUCAUCAUCGCCAAAAUGCGCAUGGUGGCCCUCAAGGCCGGCUGGCAGCAGCGCAAGCGCUCGGAGCGCAAGAUCACCCUGAUGGUGAUGAUGGUGGUGAUGGUAUUUGUCAUCUGCUGGAUGCCUUUCUAUGUAGUGCAGUUGGUCAACGUGUUUGCAGAGCAGGACGACGCCACGGUUAGCCAGCUGUCGGUCAUCCUCGGCUACGCCAACAGCUGCGCCAAUCCCAUCCUCUAUGGCUUCCUUUCGGACAACUUCAAGCGCUCUUUCCAGCGCAUCCUGUGCCUCAGCUGGAUGGACAACGCCGCCGAGGAGCCUGUCGACUACUACGCCACGGCCCUCAAGAGUCGCGCUUACAGCGUGGAGGACUUCCAGCCGGAGAACCUGGAGUCUGGAGGCGGUGUGUUCCGUAAUGGCACCUGUACGUCUCGGAUCACGACUCUCUGAGCCUUGGCCACGCAAGGGCCCUGCGCCACGGGAGGAGGAAGAUGAGGAGAAAGGGAGGCAGGGUGCGAGAGGUGCAGAUCAUGAACUCAUAAACGUCGCCAACUCUGCCUGACCCUCAGCCCGGCCAGCCGUUAUUUUUGUUUGAGCUGAGCCACAGUUACCGCCACGGGUUUCCCACGGGAUGAGUCCCCAGCUCGCCCUCAGCCCCGCCCUGCCGCGCCCCUCCGCUAGCCAGAGUCUGCCUGGCGCCCCUAGCGGAGUCUAGAGAAUCACCGCUCUGCGUUUGCGCAUCCCCGUUUGACGGGAAGUAGGACUGGAGAAUGAACUAGGCAGUAGGUCUUUUUCUUCUUUCAGGUGGGGUUGUGCCCUUGCCCGAACCCCUUCGCCACUCCCUCUCCACCCAGGGCGGAGCCAGGUGCUUAGUAAAAUCGGUCCCGCGCUUCGAACCCCGGGCAUUCUGUAGUCCCCAUCUAAACCCCACUUGGAGCCAAAAGGAACUGAGGACCAGGAGUUUUUUUAGAAGAUUCCAGGGUUUGGCGGGGAAGGGAUUGUAACGGAAACCACCCUGUUUUCCGGCUCACAACCGGCGCUUUUGAUUUCAAAGACCAAGUGCUGGGCACUCCCAGGACACUGCUGGUCUGCCUUAGGCCGGGCGAGUCAGGGCGCACUUUCUGCGGGGCCGCCUGGGAGUCGAGGCUGCCGCUACACUAGGAUUUCUCCCUCACCUAAGCUUCUGGAGGUGCAGAUGUAAGAGCAACAACAGACUCGGUUCCUGCCCCGGUUUCUGUCGAAGACCAGGCACCGGGGCCAGGACCUCCGUGGCGCCUUCUGAGCCUUGGCCAAUCCCGACCGCGUUGCUGCCGCCCGCAGGCUAAAGAGUGCGGCCUGCCUGGCCCCUGAAGGUUGCUGCCUUUCAAGUGGUGCCUAAUAAGUUAUUUUCUUGAUUAACAUGUUUGUUUAUUUAUUUAUUUGUGGUAUUUGAAAAUGUGUCUCUGCUUUGCUUUUCUCUACUUGCCUAACCCAGGGCCUUUUCUUCAGGACACUGGGGGUGGGGAUGGAGGUGACAGUGGGGGGGGGGGGGGGGAGGAAGCUCUCUCCCCAAGGCCCACUCAAAACCGUCUUCUUUGUUGGGCCCUCUUUUCUUUUUGCUUAUGUUCAGUGAAGUUUGGAGAUUCUUUUAUACUUUUCUUAUGUAGUCUCUUGUUUGUCUUAUAAUAAUCAUCAUGAUGAUAAAUAAAUAGGUAACGUGGCUUAGCCUCCUCCCAUGCAGAGUGGAAUGUCCUGAAUUCCUUCCAACAUCACCCUAUGUAUGACUUUAUUUCUGCUUUUUACAUAUUAUGAAUAUUUAUCUUGCUCCAUCGUCAUGAGUCCUCGAGACAAUUGCCAAAUACAGCCACUAGCAGUGAGAGAUGCAAGGCUGCGGGAGCACUUUCAGAUGCGGGCGUUCAAGCAGCACUCAGGUCUGGAGCUGAGAAAUCUGAUUCAGACAGAUUUUAAUCAGUGUUGAGAAUGUCCCUGGUUAGGCCCCUGCUUCUUCUAAGUUCCAGCAUAGGUGAUUCUAAUAUACGUUCUGGUUAACAUUGUCCCUUCUUUUUCACACACUGAAAGUAGAGUAAUUUGUGUCUGUGUUUAAUCUUACCAACUACAUUGGAAGCCUGAGCAGGGCAAGGACCAAUAAUUUUACUUCUUUGUAUUUCCUGUAUUGCUUUAGUAUGCUGGCAUGUACAUAGUAGGCACUAAAUACAUGUUUGUUGGCUGAUUGUUUAAGAAAGCCAGAGUGUAUUACAACCAUUGGGUGAUACUAAAUCUGGGGCUGUCAUGGACAUGAUACACAAUGGUUGAAAUCACUAUGGAAAAAGAUGUUUUGUGUAAUAUUUGCUUCAAGAACAUUGUGCUUUCCUGAAAGCAGUAACCAAGAGUUAAAAUGUCUCUAAUGUUUUGUUUAAACUAAUGAACAAACAUAUGCUUUUGGUUAUACAUCAUAAAGUUUAGCUCUGUCCCUUAAUAAUAUAUAUUAUUACUACUUUGGAAAAUAGAUUUUUAAUGGUUAAGAACAAUGAAAUUUACACAGCUAAAUCUUGAUCAUUAUCCUCUUUAGAGGAUACAAAUCCAGUGCUCUUAACAUGUUA